rnacentral:rRNA from 1 species
UACGUAGGGUGCGAGCGUUGUCCGGAAUUAUUGGGCGUAAAGAGCUUGUAGGCGGUUUGUCGCGUCUGCCGUGAAAAUUCGAGGCUCAACCUCGAACUUGCGGUGGGUACGGGCAGACUAGAGUGUGGUAGGGGAGACUGGAAUUCCUGGUGUAGCGGUGAAAUGCGCAGAUAUCAGGAGGAACACCGAUGGCGAAGGCAGGUCUCUGGGCCACUACUGACGUGAGAAGCGAAAGCAUGGGGAGCGAACAGG